UUUUAAUGAGAGUUUGAUCCUGGCUCAGGACGAACGCUGGCGGCGUGCCUAAUACAUGCAAGUAGAACGCUGAAGAGAGGAGCUUGCUCUUCUUGGAUGAGUUGCGAACGGGUGAGUAACGCGUAGGUAACCUGCCUGGUAGCGGGGGAUAACUAUUGGAAACGAUAGCUAAUACCGCAUAAAAUGGAUUAU
rnacentral:rRNA from 1 species